UACGGGGGGGGCAAGCGUUGUUCGGAAUUACUGGGCGUAAAGGGCUCGUAGGCGGCCAACUAAGUCGGAUGUGAAAUCCCCAGGCUUAACCUGGGAAUUGCAUCCGAUACUGGAUGGCUUGAAUCCGGGAGAGGGAUGCGGAAUUCCAGGUGUAGCGGUGAAAUGCGCAGAUAUCAGGAGGAACACCAGCGGCGAAGGCGGCGCUCUGGGCCGGAACUGACACUGAGGAGCGAAAGCGUGGGGAGCGAACAGG
rnacentral:rRNA from 1 species